rnacentral:tRNA from 1 species
GGUAUAGCUCAGUGGUGGAGUGCAUGCUUAAUGCGCAUGAGGUCCUGGGUUCAGUUUCUAGUACC